AAAGGACCACCAGAGAGACCAUCACUGAGACUAGGAAUACCUGAAAGUGCAGCAGACAAAAAAAGAGAAUUUCAAGGCAGGCAGGGAGAAGACGGAGAUGCGAAAGACACCAGUCCUUAGGGUGGGGAGCACACUUCCGGGACGCGAGGGACCCCUUCCAGGUGAGAGCCCAGGUGAGUCGGCGAGAGGGCAGAAGUGGGCGUGGGCGUAGCGGGCAGGGCACCCUCCCUGCGACCGGGUUGGGUGGCUUCCAGCUCCCUCGGGGUUCGCUCGGAGGGUUGGUGGUGCCCCUCUCACCGGAAACUUUUCCUCGGAACAGAACAGUUUUUUCACUCCCAGGGGAAGGAAAAACGGGUUGUUUUCCGUUGCGUUGGAAGGACAAUACAUCUUGCACGGGGCUUAAUUUCUUCAUUUAUGACUUUUAUUCCUCUCCUUCCUGUUCUCUACAAUUGAGAAAAAAAGUCCCAGCCUUGACCCCGACGUGACUUGAACACGCAACCUUCUGAUCUGGAGUCAGACGCGCUACCAUUGCGCCACGAGGUCACAGCAAGCAAGCGACUUCGCAUCGCUAAAGGCCUCGUUUCCCCAGUAUGGUCGUAGGGCUGGGAGGCUACGGAGGAAAAAUGCCCUCUUUCCUGAAUUCCAGCACCAAUUUAGAGCGCUGGCGAGUGUCAUUUCUCGGGUGUGGGAACACGGACGCGCUGGGACAUCCCAAACUGAACUGCGGCGCCGCAGCGGAGCAGCUACCCGGCGGCCGACACUCGGGCUCCGCCUUCUCCGCGUCGCGGAGUGACCCGGCGAGGGGACGCCGGGAUGCGGGGACUGGCACCGGGGGGGUGGGAGUGAGGAGAUGCCCGGGUGGAGGCCCGAGAUCAGGGGGAUCCCGGAGCCAUAGGGAUUCUGGGAGGGAGUGAGGGGACGCAGGAGAGAAGGGGACGCCGCGGAGGACUAGGGGACGUGGGGAUGUGAGAGAAGAGCAGGAAUUUAGGAUCAACUGUGAGUCCUGAGGUGCCAGCCCCCAGGCUGUCAGAAAAGCAGGAAGCCAAGGGCUCCUUGUCUUUCCUCUGGGAGGGAAGUCAGCGGCAAUUACUGAUUCCACCUCCAGGUAGCCAGACACCAUCAGCCACACAGCAAAGUCACUGUGAGAACUUCAGAACCUGCGUCCAGAGUCUGCUGGAAGGCCGCCCCACACCAAGGAAAGACCAGUGUCACACUCUAUUUCAAUAAUUUUUUUUGGCCAGGCCAGGUGGCUCACAUGUGUAAUCCCAGCACUUUGGGAACGAGAC